rnacentral:rRNA from 1 species
UCAGGAUGAACGCUGGCGGCAGGCUUAAUACAUGCAAGUCGAACGGUAAGGCCGAGCGUAGCAAUACGUGAGGUACACGAGUGGCGCACGGGUGCGUAACGCGUAUGCAACCUGCCCCGCACCGGGACAAACAGCUGGAAACGGCUGCUAAUGUCCCAUGGCCACCCGAGGGGACAUCCCCAUGGGUGUAAAGAUUUAUCGGUACGGGAUGGGGCAUGCGUAUUAUUAGGUAGUUGGCGGGGUAACGGCCCACCAAGCCGACGAUGAUUAGGGGUCCUGAGAGGGUUAACCCCCACACUGGAACUGAGACACGGUCCAGACUCCUACGGGAGGCAGCAGUAGGGAAUAUUGGGCAAUGGGAGCAAUCCUGACCCAGCCAUGCCGCGUGAAGGAAGACGGCCCUAUGGGUUGUAAACUUCCUUUGCCGCAGAGUAAACCCGGUCACGUGUGGCCGGUUGAGAGUAUGCGGCGAAUAAGUAUCGGCUAACUCCGUGCCAGCAGCGGC